UAUAUGACAGCAUAGUGUAUUUUGAUUAAUUGUACACAACUGCAGCACAACUUUACACUUCUAUGGUUGUACAUGAUGUAGUGUUACACCAAGUUCUGAUGAUCUUGGUUAAACAUUAAAAUGUUGCUUUCAAUUAGCAAUAGCUAAAUUAUGAAUGGAUUAAGAAAUUAUAUAUAUAUAUGUGUGUGUAUAUAUAUAUAUACACAUAUACAUAUAUAUAUACACACACACACACAUACACAAUGGAGUUCUACUUAGAUAUAAAGAAGAAUGGAAUUAUGGCAUUUGUUGGUAAAUGGAUGAAAAUGGAGAAUAUCUUGCCAAGUGAAAUAAGCCAAUCUCAAAUUCAAAGGUCGAAUAUUUUCUCAUAUGCAGAAGCUAGAAUAAAAUAAACCAAAGGGGCUGGAAAGAAUAGGAUAUCAUAAAGAUAAAGGAAGAUUAGUAGUAUAGAAAAAGGGAGAUUGAGAGAGAUGGAAAAGUGAAGGUAAUGCAGAAUGAACUCUUUUAAAAAUCAUGUGCAUAUAUAAAUAUACCAUAGGGAAUUUCACCUUUAUAAGUAAAAAGAACCAAUCAAAAAUAAAUAAAUAGACAAAUGAAAGGAAGUCUAGCAGGGUAGAGGAAGGAGAAUGAGGGAGGGAAAGGAGGCAGGAGGGUAGAGGGAAUCGUGAUCUGAAAUCAAAUUCCAUGCAUGUAUGAGUUUGUCGGGAUGAACAUAACUACUUUGUAUAACUACAAAGCGCUAAUAAAAUAAGAGUGUGAGUGCUUUGGAAACUUUCUACAAAUACUCUCAUUCUGGAAAACAAUCCAGCUUUGAUAUAGAUUAUAUAAGAAUGUACUUAUUGGUGAAGUAUACCUUUGGAUGGAUAUAUUUCUACUUAACCAAUAAUAUUCUUUCCCUCCCUCCCUUCCUCCCUUCCUUCCUUCCUUUCAUUUUUUUUUUUUUU
rnacentral:lncRNA from 1 species